rnacentral:tRNA from 1 species
AGUUCUAUACUUUAAAAAAAAGAUUUGACUUGCAUUCAACCAUUGAAACCUUCGAUUCUAGAGCUA